GCAGACUGUUGGAUGUCUGUUUAAGGUGGUAGGUGGAAGACUUAGGCAAAUCCGGGUCUUUAUAAACACUGAGAGCUGAUGACGAGGUCUUAAGGGACUGAAGUAACUGAUACCCUGCUUCCAGGAAAAGCCACUAAGCUUCAGGUUUAUCUAAACCGUACUGAAAACCGACACAGGUGGUCAGGUAGAGAAUACUCAGGCGCUUGAGAGAACUCGGGUGAAGGAACUAGGCAAAAUAGCACCGUAACUUCGGGAGAAGGUGCGCUUACAGUAAUUGUAGUCCCUUGCGGAUGAAGGUGAAGUAAGUCGAAGAUACCAGCUGGCUGCAACUGUUUAUUAAAAACACAGCACUCUGCAAACACGAAAGUGGACGUAUAGGGUGUGAUGCCUGCCCGGUGCUGGAAGGUUAAUUGAUGGUGUUAUCGAAAGAGAAGCUCCUGAUCGAAGCCCCAGUAAACGGCGGCCGUAACUAUAACGGUCCUAAGGUAGCGAAAUUCCUUGUCGGGUAAGUUCCGACCUGCACGAAUGGCAUAAUGAUGGCCAGGCUGUCUCCACCCGAGACUCAGUGAAAUUGAAAUCGCCGUGAAGAUGCGGUGUACCCGCGGCUAGACGGAAAGACCCCGUGAACCUUUACUAUAGCUUGACACUGAACAUUGAAUUUUGAUGUGUAGGAUAGGUGGGAGCCUUUGAAGCAGUGACGCCAGUCAUUGUGGAGGCGACCUUGAAAUACCACCCUUUAACGUUUGAUGUUCUAACGAAGUGCCUGAAACGGGUACUCGGACAGUGUCUGGUGGGUAGUUUGACUGGGGCGGUCUCCUCCCAAAGCGUAACGGAGGAGCACGAAGGUUUGCUAAUGACGGUCGGACAUCGUCAGGUUAGUGCAAUGGUAUAAGCAAGCUUAACUGCGAGACAGACAAGUCGAGCAGGUGCGAAAGCAGGUCAUAGUGAUCCGGUGGUUCUGAAUGGAAGGGCCAUCGCUCAACGGAUAAAAGGUACUCCGGGGAUAACAGGCUGAUACCGCCCAAGAGUUCAUAUCGACGGCGGUGUUUGGCACCUCGAUGUCGGCUCAUCACAUCCUGGGGCUGAAGUAGGUCCCAAGGGUAUGGCUGUUCGCCAUUUAAAGUGGUACGCGAGCUGGGUUUAGAACGUCGUGAGACAGUUCGGUCCCUAUCUGCCGUGGGCGUUGGAUGAUUGAUUGGGGCUGCUCCUAGUACGAGAGGACCGGAGUGGACGCAUCACUGGUGUUCCAGUUGUCUCGCCAGAGGCAUUGCUGGGUAGCUAAAUGCGGAAGAGAUAAGUGCUGAAAGCAUCUAAGCACGAAACUUGCCAAGAGAUGAGUCAUCCCUGACUUUAAGUCAGUAAGGGUUGUUGUAGACUACGACGUAGAUAGGUUGGGUGUGUAAGUGUAGUGAUACAUUGAGCUAACCAAUACUAAUUGCCCGAGAGGCUUAACUAU
rnacentral:rRNA from 1 species